rnacentral:rRNA from 1 species
AGCGAACGCUGGCGGCGUACUUAACACAUGCAAGUCGAACGAGGAGCUUCGGUGUAGCAAUACAUCGGAGUUUCGAGUGGCGCACGGGUGAGUAACACGUGGGCAACCUGCCCUUGAGAUCAGGAUACCCCCUCGAAAGGGGGGCUAAUACUGGAUACGCUUCUCGGGUCGCAAGACGUGGGGAGGAAAGGUGGCGAAAGCUACCGCUCUUGGAGGGGCUCGCGGCCUAUCAGCUAGUUGGUGAGGUCACGGCUCACCAAGGCGAUGACGGGUAGCUGGUCUGAGAGGACGACCAGCCACACGGGGACUGAGACACGGCCCCGACUCCUACGGGAGGCAGCAGUGGGGAAUUUUCCGCAAUGGGCGAAAGCCUGACGGAGUGACGCCGCGUGGGGGACGAAGGCCUUCGGGUCGUAAACCCCUGUCAGAGGGAAAGAAGGGUUGUGCGGUGAAUAGCCGCGUGACUUGACGGUACCUUCAGAGGAAGCCCCGGCCAACUCUGUGC